rnacentral:pre_miRNA from 1 species
UCUAGAACUCGAGAUAUAGGCUGAACACCGAAUAAUAUCUGGGCUACAUGACAGAUUCAGACUUCUCUUUUAUUACUAACAUUUGAACUUUAAAAAGAUAGUUUUGAAUCUUGGACUCUUCAUGAAUGUUUUAGGCCUAUGUUUUAGAUUUCCAUC